rnacentral:rRNA from 1 species
AACGAACGCUGGCGGCAGGCCUAACACAUGCAAGUCGAGCGAGGACUUCGGUUCUAGCGGCGGACGGGUGAGUAACGCGUGGGAAUGUGCCCUUCUCUACGGAAUAGCCCUGGGAAACUGGGAGUAAUACCGUAUACGCCCUUUUGGGGAAAGAUUUAUCGGAGAAGGAUCAGCCCGCGUUGGAUUAGGUAGUUGGUGGGGUAAUGGCCUACCAAGCCGACGAUCCAUAGCUGGUUUGAGAGGAUGAUCAGCCACACUGGGACUGAGACACGGCCCAGACUCCUACGGGAGGCAGCAGUGGGGAAUCUUAGACGAUGGGGGCAACCCUGAUCUAGCCAUGCCGCGUGAGUGAUGAAGGCCUUAGGGUUGUAAAGCUCUUUCAGCUGGGAAGAUAAUGACGGUACCAGCAGAAGAAGCCCCGGCUAACUCCGUG